UGUAUCCUACAGCAGGUCAGAAUACAGUAGAUGUAUUCCAGAGCAGGUCAGAAUACAGUAGAUGUAUUCCAGAGCAGGUCAGAAUACAGUAGAUGUAUUCCAGAGUAGGUCAGAAUACAGUAGAUGUAUUCCAGAGUAGGUCAGAAUACAGUAGAUGUAUCCCAGAGCAGGUCAGAAUACAGUAGAUGUAUUCCAGAGCAGGUCAGAAUACAGUAGAUGUAUCCCAGAGCAGGUCAGAAUACAGUAGAUGUAUCCCAGAGCAGGUCAGAAUACAGUAGAUGUAUUCCAGAGCAGGUCAGAAUACAGUAGAUGUAUCUCAGAGCAGGUCAGAAUACAGUAGAUGUAUUCCAGAGCAGGUCAGAAUACAGUAGAUGUAUCCCAGAGCAGGUCAGAAUACAGUAAAUGUAUUCCAGAGCAGGUCAGAAUACAGUAGAUGUAUCCCAGAGCAGGUCAGAAUACAAUAGAUGUAUUCCAGAGUAGGUCAGAAUACAGUAGAUGUAUUCCAGAGCAGGUCAGAAUACAGUAGAUGUAUGCUACAAUAGACUAACAACAGGAAGUUAGUAAUACACCUACUGUAUUAUUCUUAUGGUAAUUUAUUAACCCACGCUGCGGGUUUAGCUCUCCCAGGUGCACCCCCGAUAGAUAGUUGAAAUAGACAUUGCAACAAAAUCUAUCGGAAUCUAUUUUACGAAGUACGAUAGAUUUUUUAGACUUUGAUGACCCUUGAGAAUACAAUAAAAUACAAUAUAAUAAUUAAAUUCAAAAUAAUACAGUAAAAUACAAUAGAAUACAAUGAAAUACACUAGAAUACAAUGAAAUACACUAGAAUACAAUGAAAUACAGUAGAAUACAAUGAAAUACAGUAGAAUACAAUUAAAUACACUAGAAUACAAUUAAAUACACUAGUAUACAAUGAAAUACA